UUCAGAAUUGAAAACAAAGGACAUAUCCAGAGACAAAAGCAGUGACAGGUGGCUUCAAUUUCUUCCAAAAAAAAAACCUUAUAUGCAUCACCACGACAUUAUUUCCAUUCCAUCCAGAUCCACGACUUAACUGCAAGAUCACACACAAUUCAAGCAACCUCCUGUAGUCCUGUUACCAUCACUACAGGGUAGCAUUAUUGCUGCUGCUCCCUGCUCGCGCACUGCCCGGCCUUCUUCCACCGCCGCUCCAGGCGAGCACGGCGGGGGGUAGCAGAAAGGGCACUUGGCCUCGCACUCGCUGUGCGUGCAGUAGCAUCGCGGCGCCGGCUGCUCCAGCGCGCAGCAAAAGCAGGGCUCGCUCUCCACGCAAUUCAACCCUUUGUAGACGCACAUCACCAGCUUGAUCUUGCUCUCGUCGACCGGCGAGGUCGAGUUGGCCGUGCUCGAACUAGGGCAUGGGGGCUGGGAGCGCGAGGCAUCCGAAGAGGAAAACAAGCGAGACGGUCACCACACGCGCUCCGCUGCCGCUCCUCGUAUUGGAUCUUGGUCUACCUUAGCUCCAGCAACACCUGAACUUGUGUGAGAUUCAUAUUAGAAAAAUGGAACUGGCUCCCGAAUGGCUGUAUAUGUAAGAGGCCCAAAGACAUUUUAUUAUAUUAUAAUGGGACAUGUUUAGCAUAACUGAAAAAAAAUGACACGCUUUAUUAGGGGACACGACAGCUCAGUUGUAUAUCUUGGAGCAAUAUAUGUUGCAUAUCGUCAA